rnacentral:lncRNA from 1 species
CAAUAAAUAGGUAGUAAAAAUCAUUGUAUAGAUAGUGUAGCCGUGAUUCAAGCAUCCAGUACUUAGCCUUAAGCUGGUCAAGCAAAAACAAACACUUGCCACUAAAAAGGUGUGUCAAAAUGUAUUAAAUUGAUUACAUGUUUCAACUCCACAAGAAGAUAUAAGCUCAUUGUAAUAUUACUUGUUUAUCCACAUCCAACAAAUCCAAUAUCAAACUCGAAUAUCUUAGUCUCCUUAAAAAAAUGCUGUCCCCACACUUCCAGUCUCUAGUGUAACUCUUCCUCAGUCUUUCCCAUAAUAAUGCAUCAUAAUUACACAAAGAUCUACUUGGAAUUUCAGAAUGCUCCUCAUUGUUUGGGGAAAAGGAAGAAACUUAGCAGGCAGAGUACCAAAGGACAGAGAAUACAGUGGGAGAACAAAGAAGUAUGUUGGACAGUGAGUUCUGUCAAUGGAUUACUGAAAGCAAUUUUGCAACAUAGGGAUCAAAGACUGCAAAUUGUUUCUGCUUUAUUAAUAUUUGGUGAAUUAAACACUGAGGGAAAUGAAUUGGAGAAUAUUAAAAAAGCCAUGAAUCUAAAUUUUGUAUUCUAAUUAGGUGGAAUUUAUCCUUUUGGCAAAGAAUACGACUUAUCUGCUGUUUGGACUGACU